rnacentral:rRNA from 5 species
AUUGAACGCUGGCGGCAGGCCUAACACAUGCAAGUCGAGCGGUAACAGGGAGUAGCUUGCUACUCCGCUGACGAGCGGCGGACGGGUGAGUAAUGUCUGGGGAUCUGCCUGAUGGAGGGGGAUAACUACUGGAAACGGUAGCUAAUACCGCAUAACGUCGCAAGACCAAAGAGGGGGACCUUCGGGCCUCUUGCCAUCGGAUGAACCCAGAUGGGAUUAGCUAGUAGGUGGGGUAAUGGCUCACCUAGGCGACGAUCCCUAGCUGGUCUGAGAGGAUGACCAGCCACACUGGAACUGAGACACGGUCCAGACUCCUACGGGAGGCAGCAGUGGGGAAUAUUGCACAAUGGGCGCAAGCCUGAUGCAGCCAUGCCGCGUGUGUGAAGAAGGCCUUCGGGUUGUAAAGCACUUUCAGCGAGGAGGAAGGCAUUAAGGUUAAUAACCUUGGUGAUUGACGUUACUCGCAGAAGAAGCACCGGCUAACUCCGUGCCAGCAGCCGCGGUAAUACGGAGGGUGCAAGCGUUAAUCGGAAUUACUGGGCGUAAAGCGCACGCAGGCGGUUUGUUAAGUCGGAUGUGAAAUCCCCGGGCUCAACCUGGGAACUGCAUUCGAAACUGGCAAGCUUGAGUCUUGUAGAGGGGGGUAGAAUUCCAGGUGUAGCGGUGAAAUGCGUAGAGAUCUGGAGGAAUACCGGUGGCGAAGGCGGCCCCCUGGACAAAGACUGACG